GCAUGUCUAGCUCAGUCGGUAGAGUGCAAUGCUUUUAACCUUGAUGUUGUGGGUUCAAGCCCCAUGGUGGACA
rnacentral:tRNA from 1 species